rnacentral:rRNA from 1 species
GGCUUAACACAUGCAAGUCGAGGGGCAGCGGGGGUAUCAAUACCCGCCGGCGACCGGCGCACGGGUGAGUAACGCGUAUGCAACUUACCUAUCAGAGGGGGAUAACCCGGCGAAAGUCGGACUAAUACCGCAUGAAGCAGGGGCCCCGCAUGGGGAUAUUUGCUAAAGAUUCAUCGCUGAUAGAUAGGCAUGCGUUCCAUUAGGCAGUUGGCGGGGUAACGGCCCACCAAACCGACGAUGGAUAGGGGUUCUGAGAGGAAGGUCCCCCACAUUGGUACUGAGACACGGACCAAACUCCUACGGGAGGCAGCAGUGAGGAAUAUUGGUCAAUGGCCGAGAGGCUGAACCAGCCAAGUCGCGUGAGGGAUGAAGGUUCUAUGGAUCGUAAACCUCUUUUAUAAGGGAAUAAAGUGCGGGACGUGUCCCGUUUUGUAUGUACCUUAUGAAUAAGGAUCGGCUAACUCCGUGCCAGCAGCCGCGGUAAUACGGAGGAUCCGAGCGUUAUCCGGAUUUAUUGGGUUUAAAGGGUGCGUAGGCGGCCUUUUAAGUCAGCGGUGAAAGUCUGUGGCUCAACCAUAGAAUUGCCGUUGAAACUGGGGGGCUUGAGUAUGUUUGAGGCAGGCGGAAUGCGUGGUGUAGCGGUGAAAUGCAUAGAUAUCACGCAGAACCCCGAUUGCGAAGGCAGCCUGCCAAGCCAUUACUGACGCUGAUGCACGAAAGCGUGGGGAUCAAACAGGAUUAGAUACCCUGGUAGUCCACGCAGUAAACGAUGAUCACUAGCUGUUUGCGAUACACUGUAAGCGGCACAGCGAAAGCGUUAAGUGAUCCACCUGGGGAGUACGCCGGCAACGGUGAAACUCAAAGGAAUUGACGGGGGCCCGCACAAGCGGAGGAACAUGUGGUUUAAUUCGAUGAUACGCGAGGAACCUUACCCGGGUUUGAACGCAUUCGGACCGAGGUGGAAACACCUUUUCUAGCAAUAGCCGUUUGCGAGGUGCUGCAUGGUUGUCGUCAGCUCGUGCCGUGAGGUGUCGGCUUAAGUGCCAUAACGAGCGCAACCCUUGCCACUAGUUACUAACAGGUAAAGCUGAGGACUCUGGUGGGACUGCCAGCGUAAGCUGCGAGGAAGGCGGGGAUGACGUCAAAUCAGCACGGCCCUUACAUCCGGGGCGGCACACGUGUUACAAUGGCGUGGACAAAGGGAGGCCACCUGGCGACAGGGAGCGAAUCCCCAAACCACAUCUCAGUUCGGAUCGGAGUCUGCAACCCGACUCCGUGAAGCUGGAUUCGCUAGUAAUCGCGCAUCAGCCAUGGCGCGGUGAAUACGUUCCCGGGCCUUGUACACACCGCCCGUCAAGCCAUGGGAGCCGGGGGUACCUGAGGUCCGUAACCGAAAGGAUCGGCCUAGGGUAAAACUGGUGACUGGGGCUAAGAC